UCCUCGCGUCAUGUGAAUGAGAAGAAGCUAACGAAGCUGACAGGGCGAAAUAACCGCGACAUUUGCCACACAAACUUACAGAAGUGAGUCUCUCUCCACACGCCAUUGCCCCGAGGUUACUUCUUGUGAGGAACUGGACCGCUGGAGGCCCGCUGGCUCUGAUGGCGGCCGAGGAACGCUCGCCGCUCUUGUCCGAGCACUUCGACGGGACAAACGGUUCUUCUUUUGGCGCUGCAUCUCGGACUCCUCUGUUGGCUGGCGGUACACCAGAAGAAGGAGCCUGCUAUGUUUCCUGGUCUUCGUUGUGGUCACCGCUACCACGGCAGGACUGAUGGUUGGAACGUGGCAACCUGCUCAGGACUCCAAAGGGAUCUAUGCCGCUUGGGUUCUGCUCAUCCUCAUCACCGUGUGCACCCUGGCAAGCGCCAUCCAUUGGAGGUGUUUGAAAAUUAGCCAGCCCAUUUCCAAUGUGACCUAGGAGCCCAGAUCUGUUUUUUUAAAUGCAUUUAUCAGCCAUUUUCAUAGUGACUCUUUUUAAACAAAUCCCAUGAGUGCAAGAUGACAAUUUCAGUAAAGAAGAGCUAAAUAAUAAUUUAUUUUCAAACAAUAUUCAGCAAGCACAAGUGUCUUCUUAAAGUGGGGGGCACAUUGAUGCAUUUUGUAAAUUAAAGAUCAAUUUAGGUCAAUGUAUGCUGAGAUAUCUGAACAAAACAUCCAUAUCUUAGAUUUGUGUUCUAAAACAAAGCAAAUUAGUGUAAAGUAUGUUUACAAAGUGUUUUCUGCCCUCUUGUGGCAGACUGUGAAACAUGUUUGUACUACUGCUGUUUAUUUCUACAUUGAUGGACAAGCGGUAGAAUGGAUGGCCAGAUGCAAAAGUAAAUAAU